rnacentral:rRNA from 1 species
GACGAACGCUGGCGGCGUGCCUAAUACAUGCAAGUAGAACGCUGAAGGAGGAGCUUGCUCUUCUGGAUGAGUUGCGAACGGGUGAGUAACGCGUAGGUAACCUGCCUGGUAGCGGGGGAUAACUAUUGGAAACGAUAGCUAAUACCGCAUAACAGUAGAUGUUGCAUGACAUUUACUUAAAAGGUGCAAUUGCAUCACUACCAGAUGGACCUGCGUUGUAUUAGCUAGUUGGUGGGGUAACGGCUCACCAAGGCGACGAUACAUAGCCGACCUGAGAGGGUGAUCGGCCACACUGGGACUGAGACACGACCCAGACUCCUACGGGAAGGGGCAGGAGGGAAUCGUCGGCAAUGGACGGAAGUCUGGCCGAGCAACGCCGAGUGAGGGAAGAAGGUUUUCGGAUCGUAAAGGUCUGUUGUAAGAGAAGAAAGAGUGUGAGAGUGGAAAGUUCACAGUGUGACGGUAUCUUACCAGAAAGGAACGGCUAACUACGCG